UUAUGCUUUGUUAUUCCAUCCAAUACACUGAAAUACUGAAAAGUCACAGAAAACUAUUAUCAUCCUAUAUCUCUCAAUUGGAAAUGUUGUGUAAUAGAGGACAGAUAAUUGGCCUCUAUUGUUUGUUUUGCAUCUAUUUUAAGAUCUCCAUGUGAGAAGAAAAUGUAGGUGCUGGGCAACCUAAAUGGCCCUACAAGCAUGGAAUAAAUAUAGCAAGCACCAUUGAAAGCUUCCUCUGUAGAAGAGCUACGGGCUUCCCAUUGAUGGUUUCAUUAAAUCCUUACAAUAGCACCAUGAGAAAACUAAGACUUUCAGCAUCACCAGCAACAUUGUCUGCUUUUAAAGAAGCAUAGAAGCACCUCCUCAAUUACAGAUUAAGUGAGCCACGAUAGUGGAAUAAUUUUUUAAAUUGCAGUGAUUUGAGCUUUUCCAAAAAUUGCAGGAUAGUUAUUUUUUAUUUCUGUUGAGUUGAGGUAGAUAAUUUGUUUUAAAAUGCAGUGAUGCAACCGAUACGUACAUUGAAAGAGUUACUAAGGCUAUUUACAAACUUGCUAUUUUUACAACAGUUCUAGUUAUUAAAUGCACAUUAUGUGCUUGGCAUUGUCA
rnacentral:lncRNA from 1 species